rnacentral:rRNA from 1 species
CGAGAAACGGAUGCUAAUACCGCAUAGAUCUUUUUGUCUCCUGGCAGAAAGAAGAAAGACGGUUUCGGCUGUCACUUGUAGAUGGACCCGCGGCGCAUUAGUUAGUUGGUGAGGUAAUGGCUCACCAAGACGAUGAUGCGUAGCCGACCUGAGAGGGUGAUCGGCCACACUGGGACUGAGACACGGCCCAGACUCCUACGGGAGGCAGCAGUAGGGAAUCUUCCGCAAUGGACGAAAGUCUGACGGAGCAACGCCGCGUGAGUGAAGAAGGUUUUCGGAUCGUAAAACUCUGUUGUUAGAGAAGAACAAGGAUGAGAGUAACUGCUCGUCCCUUGACGGUAUCUAACCAGAAAGCCAUGGCUAACUACGUGCCAGCAGCCGCGGUAAUACGUAGAUGGCAAGCGUUGUCCGGAUUUAUUGGGCGUAAAGCGAGCGCAGGCGGUUCUUUAAGUCUGAUGUGAAAGCCCCUGGCUCAACCAGGGAGGGUCAUUGGAAACUGGAGAACUUGAGUGCAGAAGAGGAAAGUGGAAUUCCAUGUGUAGCGGUGAAAUGCGUAGAUAUAUGGAGGAACACCAGUGGCGAAGGCGACUUUCUGGUCUGUAACUGACGCUGAGGCUCGAAAGCAUGGGGAGCAAACAGGAUUAGAUACCCUGGUAG